UACGUAGGGGGCAAGCGUUGUCCGGAUUUAUUGGGCGUAAAGAGCGUGUAGGCGGCCAUACAGGUCCGUUGUGAAAACUGGAGGCUUAACCUCCAGACGUCGAUGGAAACCGUAUGGCUAGAGUCCGGAAGAGGAGAGUGGAAUUCCUGGUGUAGCGGUGAAAUGCGCAGAUAUCAGGAAGAACACCAAUGGCGAAGGCAGCUCUCUGGGACGGUACUGACACUGAGACGCGAAAGCGUGGGGAGCGAACAGG
rnacentral:rRNA from 1 species